UCAGUCGACUCCUACGGGGAGGCAGCAGUGGGGAAUAUUGCACAAUGGGCGCAAGCCUGAUGCAGCCAUGCCGCGUGUGUGAAGAAGGCCUUCGGGUUGUAAAGCACUUUCAGUAGGGAGGAAGGUAGUGUAGUUAACACCUGCAUUAUUUGACGUUACCUACAGAAGAAGCACCGGCUAACUCCGUGCCAGCAGCCGCGGUAAUACGGAGGGUGCGAGCGUUAAUCGGAAUUACUGGGCGUAAAGCGCAUGCAGGCGGCCUGUUAAGUCAGAUGUGAAAGCCCGGGGCUUAACCUCGGAAUUGCAUUUGUAAACUGGCAGGCUAGAGUCUUGUAGAGGGGGGUAGGAAUUUCAGGUGUAGCGGUGAAAUGCGUAGAGAUCUGAAGGAAUACCAGUGGCGAAGGCGGCCCCCUGGACAAAGACUGACGCUCAGAUGCGAAAGCGUGGGGAGCAAACAGGAUUAGAUACCCUGGUAG
rnacentral:rRNA from 1 species